rnacentral:sRNA from 1 species
ACACGUGAGAGGAGGUGGUCCGAAGUUGUAUAGCAACGGGACUCGUGAGGUGGCUGUCCGCUAGCCGCUGUCCUUGACAGCUUUGUUCAGCGUCGAGACCGUGUGGCAGCGGCCCGGCGAGUAUCAGGCAGCCACCCGACCCCUGGGGAUCCGGCCUAGUCCGACCGGACCACUUUCGCGUUCGCGCGGCGUGGAAGUCCCCGGGGGUCGCUUCAU